AUGAAGGGCGCGGCGUGGAGGGGCCACGGCGGCCUGUCCGCGGCCGACCACCUCGGCGCCGGGGCCCUCGCGGCCGCGCGGAGGGCCAGGCUCUGCAUCUACGGCGUCGCGCUCGCCUUCGGCGCCUUCGCGGCCUUCCUCGCCUUCGCGCCCUCGCUCCCCGCGCCGCCGCCCUCCUCGCCCUCCGCCGCGUGGCUCGACGGCGUCCUCGCCUCGGCCUCGCCCUACCGCGCGCAGGUCUCGGGCUUCUUCUCCUCCCUCUUCCCCGCCAACUCCUCCUCCUUCUCCCCGGGGCCUCCUGGUCCCGGCGUCCUCGCGGCGAGGCGGAGCGGGCCGGGCGGCAGCGGGCUCGCGGUGGGCGGCGGGCGGGCCGGGACCAACGGGUCAAGCGCGGUUCGUCCUCGCGAGCAAUCCGGUGGCGGCGGCAAUUCGGGAGGAGUUCGCAGCGGCAAUUCCGCGUCCAGUAACGCUACUGCGGCGGUGGGCGCGCGGACCAACGGCUCCAGUCCUGGCGAGCAAUCGGGAGGCGGAGGCGGGGUACCAGGCGGCAAUUCGGGAGGCGUUCGCACCGACAACUCCGCGGCCGGUAACGCUGCUGCGUCCGCGGUGCGGAGCGACGCGCCGCCCAGUGAUCACGCGGGAGGCGGUGAAGCGGCCAGCAAUUCGUCAGGUAUCGCCGCUGCUGCUCCCAAUAAAUCCUCAGGAACCGCAGCUGCUGAGGCGAAGUCUGGAGCCACGAUCGGCGGUUCAGCCCAGAAUGGCACCACGGCGCAAGGCGCUCCUCCUAUUCAGAUCAACGGCUCCGAGGUGAAUGCAAGUUCAGCGGAAGCCACGGCGAUCAACGGGACGGCAAUUCCAUCCGUCAAUCAGACCCGCAGUGCAGUUUCAGCGAUGCUGCACGGCAAUGUUGCUGCUGCGCCUCAUAGGAGAGGACAUCCAGGCAAGAACCACACUGCUCAAGAUUCGGCGGCCCACCAUAAUCAGCAGCAGACUGUAAACAGAGCUGCUGUUGCUUCAGGUGGAAGCAACAGUACGAAGACUAUGCACAAGGAAGCCACUGCUGCUUCUCAAGUGAGCGCCGGUUUGGUGCAAGGCCACGCAGCACAGGCCACCAACAGCAGCGCGGUGCCGGUGAUGGGGAACAGACAUCCUGCCAAAGAGGCUGCCAAUGCCGGUGGUCAGGCGAAGAAGCUUCACUCGAUCGAGGCGAUGGGCAGAUGCGACAUGUUCUACGGGAAUUGGGUCCGGGACGACUCGUACCCUCUCUACCCCGAGGGAUCGUGCCCUCACGUCGACGAGUCCUUCAACUGCCACCUCAACGGCCGCCCCGACAAGGCCUACCAGAGACUCCGGUGGCAGCCCCGCGGGUGCAGCAUCCCGAGGUUGAACCCAACUGAUAUGCUGGAGAGGCUGCGGGGAAAGAGGCUCGUGUUCGUUGGCGAUUCACUCAACAGAAACAUGUGGGAGUCGCUUGUUUGCAUCUUGAGGAAUUCUGUGAAAGAUAAGAGGAGGGUUUUUGAGGUGUCCGGGAACCACAAGUUCAGGGCCGAGGGCUCCUACUCUUUCCUCUUUCAGGACUACAAUUGUACAGUGGAGUUCUUCCGCUCCCCUUUCCUUGUUCAGGAAUGGGAUAUGCUUGUCACGCGUGGAAAGAAAAAGGAAACUCUUAGGCUUGACAAAAUUGAUCAAUCAUCCUCGAGGUACAAGAAUGCAGAUGUCAUUGUUUUCAAUACUGGGCACUGGUGGACACAUGAGAAAACAUCUCUUGGGAAAGAUUACUAUCAAGAGGGCAACCAAGUAUACAGUCAGCUGAAUGUCCAUGACGCCUACCGGAGAGCUCUUAACACCUGGGCCAGGUGGGUUGAUUCCAAUAUAAAUCCCAAGAAAACAACUGUGUUUUUCAGAGGCUACUCAGCAUCCCAUUUCAGCGGAGGGCAGUGGAAUUCAGGCGGCAGCUGCGACAAGGAAACUGAGCCGAUAACAAACAAGAAGUACCUCAUGCCAUACCCGCAGAAGAUGAGCAUUCUGGAGGAGGUCCUCCAUGGGAUGAAAACACCAGUGGCCUACCUGAACAUUACAAGGAUGACUGACUACAGGAAGGAGGGACAUCCUUCAGUCUACCGCAAGCAGAAGUUGAGCGGGGAGGAGCGCAAGUCCCCAGAGCUAUACCAGGACUGCAGCCACUGGUGCCUUCCCGGGGUGCCGGACUCCUGGAACGAGCUCCUCUACGCACAGAUUCUGGUCAAGCAGCAUCAGAUGCUACACCAAUAA
rnacentral:rRNA from 1 species